AGGAUCACGUGGGGAACAUGCCUCCUUGUGGGGGACAACAGCGCGAAAGCGCUGCUGAUCCCGCAUACGCUCUUGCUAAAAGAGGAAAGCGGUAACGCGCAGGGAGAGUGGCCCGCGGCCCAUCAGGUGGUUGGUGGGGUAAUGGCCUACCAAGCCGAUGACGGGUAGCUGGUCUGUGAGGACAACCAGCCAGACUGGGACUGAGACACGGCCCAG
rnacentral:rRNA from 1 species